UUAGUUGGAAAAAUGUUCUUUCAGUCGGCCGUCAUUUAAUCCAUUGGUCGGACUUGCGGAUCCGUAGAUUCGCUGUGACAGUUGCUCUGUGGCUGCGGCUUCUGUGGGCACAGCACCGAGUGCCCUCUGAUCUCCAGUCCCCAGAUCAUCUCAUUUCUGGAACGACACGCGUCGGCAAAACAUAACGAAACGGAGCUUGUGAAACUAAAACAUUGUGCCUAUUAUCUGUUCGCCACAUGCUAUCUUAAAGUGCCAAAAGUAUGUUGAGGCUCUUUUGCAAAACAAUGGCGAUCUAACAAAAUCUCGAUUUGAAGGUGUCAAUCAAUUUAAUAUUUAAAAGAUGCGUUUUAAUUUCUCCACCCACUCGGCGGCCCCCACCUCUACGGCCAUACCAAAAACAACACAGGCAAAUGGAGGCGACCAGAACACCCAACCGCUCAAGAAGGCCAUCGAAGCGGAUCCCGAUUCGCUGGACAGUGUGAUCAGCAAUCCUCAAUCCUAUCCCAUCACAAUUGUGCCGAAUAGGCCGACCAGCUACUAUGGCCUAUCCCAAAAUGGCAAGCCGUUCCCCCGCCAACCGAGCUGCAGAUCUCGCAAUUUCCGGCCUGGCAGCAUGAGACGUGUUCGCCGAAGAGCGGUCUUCAAAAAUGGUGACUGCAAUGUGGUGCAGAAGCACCUGCAAAGACGGCGAGUUCGAUUCCUGCAGGACAUGUACACCACCAUGGUGGAUUGGCAGUGGCGGUGGACUCUCUUGGCCUUCGCACUCAGCUUCAUCCUGUCGUGGCUCUUCUUUGCGCUCAUCUGGUGGCUAAUUAUAUACACACACGGAGACUUGGAGGAGCCUCACCUGCCAGAAAACCAAGAGGAAUCCGGUUGGGCGCCUUGUGUUUCGGCCAUCGAUGGCUUUACUUCCUGCUUCCUGUUCUCCAUUGAAACGCAGCAUACUAUUGGAUACGGAGUGCGCACUACCUCGCCCGAGUGUCCAGAGGCCAUCUUCAUGAUGUGCUUCCAGUCCAUAUACGGCGUGAUGUCUUCAGCAUUUAUGGCCGGAAUAGUGUUUGCCAAAAUGACAAGGGCCAAACAGCGGGCACAGACUUUGUUGUUCUCCAAACACGCCGUUAUUUGCCAACGUGAUGGCACCCUUUCGCUGAUGUUCCGUGUGGGUGACAUGCGAAAGUCACACAUCAUUGGAGCCGGAGUGAGGGCUCAGUUGAUCAGGACAAAGAGCACCAAGGAGGGUGAGGUGAUGACACAGUACUUCACAGAACUGGAGAUCGGUACUGAUGACUCCGGCUCUGAUUUGUUCUUCAUCUGGCCCAUGGUCAUCGAGCACAAGAUCGACGAGAACUCACCGCUCUAUAAUCUCAAUGCCACUGAUAUGCUGCAGGAUAAGUUCGAAAUCGUGGUGAUCCUGGAGGGCACCGUGGAGUCCACUGGACAGAGCACUCAAGCCAGAUCCAGCUAUAUUAACACUGAGAUCCUUUGGGGACAUCGUUUCGAUCCAGUGGUGCUGUACAACAAGGAUCUGCAGGCCUAUGAAAUCGACUACGGUCGAUUUAACGAAACCACUCAGGUGGACACUCCGUUGUGCAGUGCUCGGGAAUUGAACGAGAUCUACAAGAUCCAGGAGGGAUUCCGCACACCAGCAGAAACUACCUUUACCAUGCGUCAACUGUCCCACAAUCAUUCUGACCAGGCCUCCUAGGCGCAGAUUCCAGUGUUUCGUCCCUCGUGUUGCUAUAGUUUGUAAUCGUGUUUGUCCUAUCUUCCCCCUCGACCCAAUCGAGGUGCUCCUGCAGUUCCGGCUAUCAGACACCUGGAAGGCAAAGCCGCCUGCGCUGGCAGCUCUCGGUGCCCUUGUAAUGCUCCUCGACUAUCCACGCACUUAAAUGUACGAGUUACCCUACGAAAAUAAGUUAAUAAACGCUUUAGUCAGAGACUACA
rnacentral:misc_RNA from 1 species